CACGUAGGGUGCGAGCGUUGUCCGGAAUUAUUGGGCGUAAAGAGCUCGUAGGCGGUCUGUUGCGUCUGCCGUGAAAACCUGAGGCUUAACCUUGGGCUUGCGGUGGAUACGGGCAGACUAGAGGUAGGUAGGGGGAGAACGGAAUUCCCGGUGUAGCGGUGAAAUGCGCAGAUAUCGGGAGGAACACCCGUAGCGAAGGCGGCACUCUGGGCCGGAACUGACGCUGAGGAGCGAAAGCGUGGGGAGCGAACAGG
rnacentral:rRNA from 1 species